AGAGGAGGAGGAGAGCGCAGGAGGUGAAGGAGCAGGACCGAGAGAAGUGGCGGAGGCGGUUGUGGAGGCCUUCGUCCAGCAGUGGAGUGACCACGGCUGCCGACAGUCGACCCGUGGCACCUGGGUCUGCCCCGUGACCUCCUGCCAGCGGGCGUUCGACACUUCACGUGGCCUCAACGUGCACCCAGCCUGGCACCAGCGUCGUGGUGACGUCACCGCCACUUAGUGGCGAAUGGCGG